rnacentral:lncRNA from 1 species
CAUGGUUUAAUGCUGAUGCUUUAUAUGCUUCCUUCAGGUAUAUUAGGGGAAGUGGGACCUGGGAGGCCAGAGUUUGCCUCAAGACCCUGUCCUGCAUAGUGUAGACUGGGCUCAGCCAUCUCUGUGGUUCCUUUCGCCCCUCCAGGACUCCCCUCGGAGGCAGAGAUGCUCCUGUCACACACCCAUGGGGCUUCCAACCUGUCAGCAAGCCUGGCACUGCGGAGUGCAUGGGGUCAGCUGGAUGCUGCCCUCGGCCUGGAUGGCCCAACCCCUGGAGCCCCAGGCAGCCGGCUCCACACCAGCUUGGCCCACUCGGUGCCUGGCCUCAGGCGCUGGGGCCUCCCCUUCUCCAUGGACGGCCAAGGCCACUUCCAGAGCAUGGGACCCCGCGUGGUGGCUGGGCUGAUGGCGAGCGUGGACGGUGAGCAGCUCCAUGUGGUCCUGGAGACCAGGCGACAGCGUGGCCACCACAGGCUAGCCCUGGGGCUGCACCAGGGCCUCUCUGUGCUGCUGGGCACCGUGCCCGCGCGGCUUUGGGUCAACUGCAGCGGAGACGCCUCACCCACCCAGCUCUCAGGUCUCUGCAAGGGGGACUUCAUGGGGCAGCCUCUCGAGGUACGUGGGUCCCUCUCAUAGGUGGGCAGUGGGUCCUCUCUGUCACAGGCAGAUCGUGGCGGGCUGAGCUCCCUGAGCUCUGGCAGGUCCCGUGGCUCCUGGACCUGGGGUGAACUAGACACUGGGGCAACCACAGGGCUUCCUGCAGACCUUGUCAGUGCUGCUCUGUAGGCACCUGAGUGAGCAGCUGGUUGCAGGCCUGGCCUGGCGGAGCUCUGUGGCUUGAUGGCAGUGGAGGGGGACGUAGCCCAGAGGACUCGGGGGGUGGAGGACAGAGGUAUUCUGCCCCUGCGGCUCGCCGUCCUGGCCUGGCUGUGUGCUGGCAUCCCCCCCUGCAGGAGCUGGGUCGCUUUCCCAGGGUCACACGGGGGCCUCAAUGGUGGGAGAGUUAACUAAGAGAAUAGGGGGUCAGGACGGAAAGGGUUUUUAACAGGCUGGACAGAGGGGCUGCCUUUCGUCCAUGAAACUGAAGAGCCAGGGCACGUGGAAUGGGGGAGCUGUGCGCCUGGCACCCAGUCAGGGGUUUGUGGGCGGGGGCUUGGUUGCUAGAAAGAGUGACUGGGGAAGGGGGUUGGAACAGGAG